rnacentral:misc_RNA from 1 species
GAGAGGUUCCUCCAGAGGAUUCACUUAAGUCUUUGAAUUACAUUCAAAAAACUGUUCCUGUCUACAUGAAUACCAAUUUCUCUGGAGACCCGCUUUACAAAGAAUAUCUUCAAAGCUAUUUAAGUUCAAAGGCUGUGAUAACCAAACCAUUAGAUUUAGAUACCACAACAGCUUUGUUUCUGGACUACUUCCCAGAAGAAGGACAA